UUGUAGCUAAAUGUGUUAAGCAAAAAAAUGUAGAGUUCUUCGAUACUUUUUCACGAGUCACCAAAAUUGUUAUGAACCUGCCAAGGCCCAUUAAUGAAGAAGAGCUAAGUGAGCUAGAAGGGCCCAUGACCCGAUCCAGAACCAAGAAGCCACACCAAGCUCUACACCAAUUAGUGAAAGAAUUGGUUGAAUCAACAAAACCCAACAAGGAGAUCAAGCCCAUGGAUUGCACCAUUUUCAUAGAAGUAACCCAUGUUGGCCAUGGCCAAGGAGGGGCUAUAUGAGGCGUGAUGGAGUUCAAUUUAAUAAAGUGGGGAUCAUCAUCCCCACGUGUAGUUUAGGAGUUAAUUUCCUUUCCUUAUUCGAAGAACUAAUACUAUUUUCCUUUUUAGGCUUUAAGUGGUCGAACUAAUAUUUGUAAUAAAUUGCAUUAAGGCUUGUGUAAUCCAGGUAUAAAACAUGUGUUUAGAGGAGGCAUGAAAACCUUCCUUUCUUGGAGAGGGCGUGCAAACCAAGGGAAAGCUUUCUUUGUUGGUCCAACUGUGAAUCCAUCCUUAAAGACCAUGAAGACACAAUGAAUCCUUGCCUAUUUUGGAAGAGCAUGUGUGGUUGCCUAUAUGGUAACAAUCAAUGGCUCAUCAAGCCAUGAAAUUUUUUCCUAAUCAAGGUAGGCGUGGAUUACAAGGUUGGUCAGUUUCCAUAAUUAAGCCAAGCCAAUUCAAAUCUGAUUUGGAACAAGAAUGGCAACUUUCAACGAUUCAAAAACUCAUGGAGAUUUGCUUCAAUCAGAAUGGACAUGUGCAUUUGAAAUGCAGGAUCAGAUAGAAAUCCUUUCCUUAAUGAGAUCAAGAGAGUGAAUUCCCAAGAUUUAUUCCUUAUUUGGAGUUGGCUUAUGAAGGCAAAUUCAAAAACUUACCUUAUACGUACAACUCAGAUUGGAAAUACAUUAAGGAGAUUAAUAAUUUCCAUGUUUUCAAAGGAUAUGAAUUGGGCGUGUAAAGCAAGGUAAUCACACAUUAACUCUCUACCAUAAUAGAAGACCAAUCUAUAUGGGAAGGCAUGAAGGCAUUGAUUUGUUUCCUUUUUCACACCAAGGGCCUUUAAUUUUGAAUAUAGACACCUAGUGAAAUGGCAAAUAGUCAAAGGAUGCCAUUAUAACCGACCUACGAAGUUUUGAUAAAGACAAGGUCUUACAUGGAAGCUCGAAGACUUGGACAUCUCAACAAACAACAUAUCAAGAACUCAAGGUCAUCGUCAUAGAAUCUAGGAUUGCUUUUUACAUUCUAGAGUCAUAAGAUGAUUGCCUGAUAUUGAGUCUUAGGGUAGAUAAACCCUAGAUGGAAGUGUCUCACAAAGAGUCUAAUAUAUAAAUCGCAUAAAAUGAGGCAUAACAUCUACA
rnacentral:lncRNA from 1 species